UCCGCAGGCGGGCAAUUAAGUCAGGGGUGAAAUGGUGCGGCUCAACCGUAGCACUGCCCUUGAUACUGGUUGUCUUGAGUCACAGUGAAGUGGCCGGAAUAUGUAGUGUAGCGGUGAAAUGCAUAGAUAUUACAUAGAACACCGAUUGCGAAGGCAGGUCACUAACUAUCGACUGACGCUGAUGGACGAAAGCGUGGGGAGCGAACAGGAUUAGAUACCCUGGUAGUCC
rnacentral:rRNA from 1 species